rnacentral:misc_RNA from 1 species
AUAGAGAGAAGAAUAAGACGUUUGGAGAAACAACAGCGCACUUCAUCUUGUAAGGCCCAAGAAACAGAAAUUGCUGAACAACUUGCUAAAUUGAAAGAGGACCUUGAAUAUGUUCGGUUCUUUCCCAAGAAUGAGAAAUAUGUAUCCUUGUUUUCGGGAGGUGAUGAGCAAGAUAUUGUUGACAAAAGAUGUAAAUUACGGGAGCAAAUCAAAGCCAAUAUAGUUGCUGCUGCCGCAAGUGGGAAAGAUUUGGAAGAAACAGGGAGCGAAGACGAUGGGCUUCUUGAUUUAAGCGAUGAUGAUUUCUUUGAAAGUGGAAGCUCAAGUGAUGAUGCUGAUGACGAGUGGACUGAUAAAAGUGCAAGAGAACAAGCUUCUAGUGCAUCUGGCAAAGCAGCUUCUAGCAUGUCCAGUGAUGAAAAGAAUCAGAAGCAAAUAUCUGCCCGUGCUCUAAUGCCGCCACCUCGUCCUUCGAGCAAGUCUUUUAGUCAUUCAGCAAAUAAAAAAUCAAGGUUUGGAGGAUCUACAAGUAAGAAAUCGUCUUUCCGUGAUAUGUCAACCUCCAGCAACACAUCAGAUAGCUUUAAUAGAUCUACAUUCAGAAAAGGAAGACCUGCAGAUUCACUCACAGGCAACAGUGGGAAUAUCAGCUCCAACUCUGAUGCUCGAAAACCCCGAAGAAAGAGGAGACCAAAGAAGAAGAAACAACAGGCUUGAAUCAAGUUUCCAUAGCUCCAAAUACAUUUGUUGUACCAGAGUUGUGAGGACAGUUGAAAUGCCUCUUUAAAUAUUUCAAAGAAUUAGAUAGCAAGUUUCCA